CCUACGGGAGGCAGCAGUGGGGAAUAUUGGACAAUGGGCGAAAGCCUGACCCAGCAAUGCCGCGUGAGUGAUGAAGGCCUUAGGGUUGUAAAGCUCUUUUACCCGGGAUGAUAAUGACAGUACCGGGAGAAUAAGCCCCGGCUAACUCCGUGCCAGCAGCCGCGGUAAUAA
rnacentral:rRNA from 1 species